GAGGGUAUAGCUCAAAUGGGCACAUGCCCAGCAUGCAUGAGGUCCUGGGUUCAAUCCCCAGUACCUCCA
rnacentral:tRNA from 1 species